rnacentral:rRNA from 1 species
UGGGGAAUAUUGCACAAUGGGCGAAAGCCUGAUGCAGCAACGCCGCGUGAGGGACGACGGCCUUCGGGUUGUAAACCUCUUUUAGCAAGGAAGAAGCGAAAGUGACGGUACUUGCAGAAAAAGCGCCGGCUAACUACGUGCCAGCAGCCGCGGUAAUACGUAGGGCGCAAGCGUUAUCCGGAAUUAUUGGGCGUAAAGAGCUCGUAGGCGGUUUGUCGCGUCUGCUGUGAAAACCCGAGGCUCAACCUCGGGCCUGCAGUGGGUACGGGCAGACUAGAGUGCGGUAGGGGAGAUUGGAACUCCUGGUGUAGCGGUGGAAUGCGCAGAUAUCAGGAAGAACACCGAUGGCGAAGGCAGAUCUCUGGGCCGUAACUGACGCUGAGGGAAGGC